GGAGGUAUGGCUCAAAUGGUAAAGCAUUUGCCUGGCAAGAAUAAGGACCUGAGUUGAAACCUUAGUACCACUU
rnacentral:tRNA from 1 species